rnacentral:tRNA from 1 species
UGUCACACAAAUAGCUCAGAUGGGAGAGCGUUAGACUAUAGAUUGAAAGGUCCCUGGUUCGAUCCAGGGAUGCGGCAA